CCGCUGAACUUAAGCAUAUCAAUAAGCGGAGGAAAAGAAACCAACAGGGAUUCCCCUAGUAACGGCGAGUGAAGCGGGAACAGCUCAAAUUUGAAAUCUGGCCCUUGGGUCCGAGUUGUAAUUUGCAGAGGAUGCUUUUGGUGCGGUGCCUUCCGAGUUCCCUGGAACGGGACGCCUUAGAGGGUGAGAGCCCCGUACGGUUGGACACCAAGCCUAUGUAAAGCUCCUUCGACGAGUCGAGUAGUUUGGGAAUGCUGCUCAAAAUGGGAGGUAUAUUUCUUCUAAAGCUAAAUAUUGGCCAGAGACCGAUAGCGCACAAGUAGAGUGAUCGAAAGAUGAAAAGCACUUUGAAAAGAGGGUUAAAUAGCACGUGAAAUUGUUGAAAGGGAAGGAUUUAUGACCAGACUUUUUCUAGGGGGAUCAUCCGGUGUUCUCACCGGUGCACUUCCCCUAGUUGAGGCCAGCAUCGGUUUCUGUCGGGGGAUAAAAGCUUUAGGAAUGUGGCUCCCUCCGGGGAGUGUUAUAGCCUGUUGCAUAAUACCCUGACGGGGACCGAGGUUCGCGCAUUGCAAGGAUGCUGGCGUAAUGGUUAUUAAUCACCCGUCUUGAAACACGGACCAAGGAGUCGAACAUUUGUGCGAGUGUUUGGGUGUUAAACCCUCACGCGUAAUGAAAGUGAACGGAGGUGAGAGCCUUUCGG
rnacentral:rRNA from 1 species